UCACCCUCCUUUUCUGGACAGUGGUCUGUGGAUCCUUAACAGGAACCAGCAGUCAGGUGACUGUGACUCAGACACCAGUAGUGUCCUUUAAUCCAGGAUCCACAGUCACUCUGACCUGUAAAACAAACCCAGCGGUUCACAGAUGGAGUGAUGGAGAUGAGGGUAUGUUCUGGUAUCAACAGAAACCUGGAGAAGCCCCCAAGCUCUUCAUAAAAUAUGCAAA